rnacentral:lncRNA from 1 species
UUUCAAAGUUUCCGUUGAAGUAAGGGAAAGGACUUCGUAACCAGACAGCAUCUAAAUCUGCGUACACAAUAUUUAGUCCAUUUUGAAGGCAUUUAAGAAUAUAGCCAGGGCGUCCAGAUGCCAGCUCACUAAACGCUCGACUUCCAUAAUUAACAGCCUUACUCGAAGUAUUUCGCCGACCUCUUACAAGCUUUAUAAAAUUUUCAUCAAGUUUUUGUAGUUUAAAAAAAACAAUAUCGUCUUCUGCUAUGACUAUCAGGAUAUAGUUCAAAUUAAGUUUUCUGUAGAAAUGAAUCCAGUUUUUGAAAAAAUCUAAAUAUCCAUCGUUAACUGUCACAAGGAGUGUCCAAUUCAUACUUUGCUCUUCCUUAAUUGUCCUUAGGAGUGUCCGAUUCAUAUUUUGCUCCUUGUUAACUGAAAUAUAUUGUGACCUGUUGUUUGAUUUGACACUAAUAAGGCUUACUAUUAAACAACUCAUGACAAGUAUACAGCAUAACAGCUUCCCUUUUGUUUUUUCAGCCAUUUCGACAUUAUCACUACAAUUAAACAUUUAACUCUGCAUGCAGCUAAACAUAUACAAGUACAGACAUAAAUCGAUAUAAAUUGACACUUUGUAUUACGUAGCUUUUUAAUCUGUGAUGCGUAAUGGUAACUACACCGGUAGCUAUAUAUUUGGAUAUGUCCAGUAACAUCACAUGGAAGACUGCUAUAUGUGAAAAGUCUUUCCCCAACACUGAUGAUAUUGCAGUUCUAACAGAAAAGCGAAGUCACGGCAUUAACCAGACUAGUGUUUUGAAAAAGGAUUCAGUAAAAACAAAUGCCGGACAGAAAGUACACACAGAUUGCAGAAAGAAGUAUACUGACAAAAGACAUACAUUGACAGACUUAGUUGCACAUACUAAUGGAACUAGGUUACUGAUAUCUGUUUAUGACUUUGACUUCAAGCACAAGUGUCUUUUUAUUUUUAUUUUGGCGGAAAAGAUGCAAAAACCUCAUCUAGAAAACGUGUAAAUGAUAUAUUUCCAGUGCAAUGCUCUGACUUUCUGUCAAGUAUAAAAGAAAUUUGUGAUCUUUGAUUAUUAUGUUGGAGUACUGAACAUUGAUUAUGAUGUUACAUUACUACAACUUGAUUAUGGUGUUGCAUUACUUUACUUUGGUUAUGAUGUUGCAAAACUAUACUUUGUCUAUGGUGUUUCAGUUCAACACUUUAUGUUGUUGCAGUACUAUACAUUGAUUGUGAUGUUGCAGUACACUGUACAUGAACUCUAUUUUGAUUAUGGUGUUGCAGUACUAUACUUUGAUUAUGGUGCUGCAGUUCUUUCUUUACUUUAAUGGUGGUUUUGCAGUACUAUACUUUGAUUAUGAUGUUGUAGAACUAUACUUUGCAGUACUAAACUUUGAUUUUUGGGUUGCAGUACUAUACUUUGAUUAUGGUAUUGCAGUACUAAAAUUCUAUUAUGGAGUUGCAGUACUUUCCUUUGAUUUUUAUAAAGCAACUUCGUCAUUUUUGUCUCAUUCAAUAAGAAUUUCGAAAAUCUAAAACAUACUGAAAGUAAAGUUGUUAUAUAAUGGCUUUUCGUUUGUAUGAAUAUGUGUAUCAUUUAAUCUUUUUAAAGAUGUUAUAUGCUUAAUGGCAAGGAAAACAGUGUAGUUUAAGAAACAAUGUAAUUUUCAAUACGCAGCACCACACGGUAUGUAAUUUGUCAAACAAGUAAGAUAGAAUUGCAUUUACACUAUAUUGUCUUAAAGUUAUGAUUCAGUUGUACUAGAACUGAAUAUAAAUGCGUAUGUUUAAACAUAUUUACCCACAUAAAGAAAGAAAUUCUUGUUUUAUGAAGAUUUUCGAAUUAACGUUUUUUUCUCAAAAAGUGGGUGGGGUACAUUUUACCCCAUAUUAUUCACAUUGUUUGCUUCAAAACUUGAAAUAAAUGGUUUAUUGAAGAUAUAAUGCCU